rnacentral:rRNA from 1 species
GACGAACCGAGCGAACGUUGUUCGGAAUAACUGGGCUUAAAGGGCGCGUAGGCGGGCUGUCAAGUUUGGGGUGAAAUGCCACGGCUCAACCGUGGAACUGCCUCAAAUACUGACGGUCUCGAGGGAGGUAGGGCGAGCGGAACUAAUGGUGGAGCGGUGAAAUGCGUUGAUAUCAUUAGGAACUCCGGUGGCGAAGGCGGCUCGCUGGACCUUUCUGACGCUGAGGCGCGAAAGCUAGGGAGCAA